rnacentral:rRNA from 1 species
GAGUCUACCUAUUAUGCGAGUGUUAAGGUGGAGAAACCUAAACGCGUACCGAAAGGGAUGUAAGAUGUGAAGCGCAAGCUGCAACAUCAACCAAUCUUGAUUCUCUGAAGAAGGACUUGAGUUAAGAGCAUAAUCGGUAGGACCCGAAAGAUGGUGAACUACGGUUGAAUAGGGUGAAGCCAGGGGUAAACUCUGGUGGAGGCUCGAAGCGAUACUGACGUGCAAAUCGUUCGUCAAAUUUGACUGUAGGGGCGAAAGACUAAUCGAACCAUCUAGUAGCUGGUUCCCUCUGAAAUUUCUCUCAGGAUAGCAGGAACAGAUUAUGCAGUUUUAUCAGGUAAAGCUAAUGAUUAGUGGAAUCGGGGGGUCUAGUAUCCUUGACCAAUUCUCAAACUUUAAAUUGGUAAGAACUACGAGUUAUCUUAAUUGAACUCGGAGGUAGAAUGCAUUGUUCUUAGUGGGCCAUUUUUGGUAAGUCAGAACUGGCGAUGAGGGAUG